rnacentral:piRNA from 1 species
UGCCAAUGUUUUCACAUCACUCUGUGUGUGU